rnacentral:sRNA from 1 species
CCAGCAGCAGGAGGCAGCUGUAAUCAUCACUGUCCUCCAAGUACUUUUAAGAACAAGGAGGUCUCUGCCCACGGCAGCCCAAGCAGAUUCCCAUCCAUCAUGACUGCCAUCCGACUACGAGAAUUUAUUGAGCGUCGCCCAGUGAUCCCGCCAAGUAUAUUCAUUGCUCACCAAGGAAGAGACGUGCAAGGCUAUUACCCUGGGCAGCUGGCAAGACUCCAUUUUGAUCAUAGUGCAAAGAGAGCUCCCAGAUUGGAACCAGAAAUUAGCCACAGUUUCGCUGAAUCCUCGACCACUUAAUUCACUGCCAGAGCUCUACUGUUGUGAAGAGAGAAGCGGCUUUGAAAGAAAUGCUUUUAAACUAAAAUAACCAUGGCAUUCGAACAAAAUAA